AUGCUAGCUGGUGGUGAAUCUCUGGAAAAACAUGUACUAGGACAACCAAGCAGACAGGGGGGAUGGAAGACAUGUACUGGGAGCACCAAGCAGACAGGAGGGAUGGAAGACAUGUACUGGGAGCACCAAGCAGACAGGAGGGAUGGAAGACAUGUACUAGGAGAACCAAGCAGACAGGAGGGAUGGAAGACAUGUACUGGGAGCACCAAGCAGACAGGAGGGAUGGAAGACAUGUACUGGGAGCACCAAGCAGACAGGAAGGAUGGAAGACAUGUACUGGGAGCACCAAGCAGACAGGAGGGAUGGAAGACAUGUACUGGGAGCACCAAGCAGACAGGAGGGAUGGAAGACAUGUACUGGGAGCACCAAGCAGACAGGAGGGAUGGAAGACAUGUACUGGGAGCACCAAGCAGACAGGAGGGAUGGAAGACAUGUACUGGGAGCACCAAGCAGACAGGAGGGAUGGAAGACAUGUACUGGGAGUACCAAGCAGACAGGAGGGAUGGAAGACAUGUACUGGGAGCACCAAGCAGACAGGAGGGAUGGAAGACAUGUACUGGGAGCACCAAGCAGACAGGAAGGAUGGAAGACAUGUACUGGGAGCACCAAGCAGACAGGAGGGAUGGAAGACAUGUACUGGGAGCACCAAGCAGACAGGAGGGAUGGAAGACAUGUAGUGGGAGCACCAAGCAGACAGAAGGGAUGGAAGACAUGUACUGGGAGCACCAAGCAGACAGGAGGGAUGGAAGACAUGUACUGGGAGCACCAAGCAGACAGGAGGGAUGGAAGACAUGUACUGGGAGCACCAAGCAGACAGGAGGGAUGGAAGACAUGUACUGGGAGCACCAAGCAGACAGGAGGGAUGGAAGACAUGUACUGGGAGCACCAAGCAGACAGGAAGGAUGGAAGACAUGUACUGGGAGCACCAAGCAGACAGGAGGGAUGGAAGACAUGUACUGGGAGCACCAAGCAGACAGGAGGGAUGGAAGACAUGUACUGGGAGCACCAAGCAGACAGGAGGGAUGGAAGACAUGUACUGGGAGCACCAAGCAGACAGGAGGGAUGGAAGACAUGUACUGGGAGCACCAAGCAGACAGGAAGGAUGGAAGACAUGUACUGGGAGCACCAAGCAGACAGGAGGGAUGGAAGACAUGUACUGGGAGCACCAAGCAGACAGGAGGGAUGGAAGACAUGUACUGGGAGCACCAAGCAGACAGGAGGGAUGGAAGACAUGUACUGGGAGCACCAAGCAGACAGAAGGGAUGGAAGACAUGUACUGGGAGCACCAAGCAGACAGGAGGGAUGGAAGACAUGUACUGGGAGCACCAAGCAGACAGGAGGGAUGGAAGACAUGUACUGGGAGCACCAAGCAGACAGGAGGGAUGGAAGACAUGUACUGGGAGCACCAAGCAAACAGGAGGGAUGGAAGACAUGUACUGGGAGCACCAAGCAGACAGGAGGGAAGGAAUCAUAGUUGCACUUUAA
rnacentral:lncRNA from 1 species